UUCCACCUCUGUGUCCUCUGCAGU
rnacentral:miRNA from 1 species